CUCUAUUGGAUGACCUUUGACCUGUUCUACAGUAUCAUGAUGAUAUCAAAUCUGCAGCACAGGUAUUAAAUGCUCUCAGCAUCAAAGUCUGAAUGAAACUGAUCAUUAAAACAGUGUUUAGAGGGAGAAGAUCCACCCAAAAUAACAUGAAGUAAAUCAGGAGUGUCUGUUUCUGAAAAUGAUCAAUAGAAAUUUAUUAGCAAAGAUACUAAAUGACAAAACAGUGUUUCUGCUGUCUUCAGGUAAAUGAUCUGGAGUGUGUUUGCAUAUUGAUCAGAUGCUUCAGUGCUCUGAGAGUGUUUAUAGUGCUGUGAGUUUAACACUUCAUCACUGACACACACAACAAUCUUCAUCAACAUGACCUUCAUCAUCAUCUUCAUCUGGACUCUCACAGCGUUUUCUCAAGAGUGUAGAGGACAGAUCACCGUCACUCAGAGUCCCUCAAUGACAGCAGCUCAACCAGGACAAACUGUGAACAUCAACUGUAAAACCAGCAGUAAUGUGUACAGAUGGUUUGGGGAUGAUUGUUUAGCAUGGUACUUACAGAAACCUGGAGAAGCUCCUAAACUCCUGAUUUAUUAUACAAACACCCUCCAGUCAGGAACUCCAUCUAGAUUCAGUGGCAGUGGAUCUAACAGUGAUUUCACUCUGACCAUCAGUGGAGUCCAGACUGAAGAUGCUGGACAUUAUUACUGUCAGAGUUUACACAGUGGUAAUGUGUUCACACAGUGA